rnacentral:rRNA from 1 species
UACGGGGGGGGCAAGCGUUGUUCGGAAUUACUGGGCGUAAAGGGCUCGUAGGCGGCCAACUAAGUCGGAUGUGAAAUCCCCAGGCUUAACCUGGGAACUGCAUCCGAUACUGGAUGGCUUGAAUCCGGGAGAGGGAUGCGGAAUUCCCGGUGUAGUGGUGAAAUGCGUAGAUAUCGGGAGGAACACCCGUAGCGAAGGCGGCCGACUGGACCACACCUGACGCUGAGGCGCGAAGGCCAGGGGAGCGAACGGG